rnacentral:misc_RNA from 1 species
UCCAGAACUUACCGCCACGGAGGCACGUAGAAGGUGGGCCCAUCGGCAUUCUGGACGGUCUUCAAAUUGCACAACGGCUAGCUCAAGAUCCCGAUGUGCUACUAGCACUGCGCGCCGCACCAAAAUAACCCGACCGAAGAAGAAAUGUUGUCAGGAUACGAAAGUGUUUUUCAGAAUUUCCGGGUACGCUGCGCUACUUGCUCCAACUCUACUUGCCUCAAGUGUCUCCUUUGCUCAGGGCAAUGAAUCGGCAUGGCCGGCUGCGCUGAUCUGUC